rnacentral:tRNA from 1 species
GGCCCUUUAGCUCAGUUGGUUAGAGCGGCGACUCAUAAUCCCCCGGUCGCUGGUUCAAGUCCAGCAAGGGCCA